UACAGAGGGUGCGAGCGUUGUCCGGAAUUACUGGGCGUAAAGAGCUCGUAGGUGGUUUGUCGCGUUGUUCGUGAAAACCGGGGGCUUAACCCUCGGCGUGCGGGCGAUACGGGCAGACUUGAGUACUGCAGGGGAGACUGGAAUUCCUGGUGUAGCGGUGGAAUGCGCAGAUAUCAGGAGGAACACCGGUGGCGAAGGCGGGUCUCUGGGCAGUAACUGACGCUGAGGAGCGAAAGCGUGGGGAGCGAACAGG
rnacentral:rRNA from 1 species